rnacentral:lncRNA from 1 species
GCGCUUACGUGUGUAUUGUUUAUCGAAUGUUUGCUUGCCAAAGAUUUGCAGAGUGGAGGUAGAUUUUAAAUUAGUGUGCUCGCCAAGGAAUGGAUCCUCGUGCCUACGUAUGCCCACUUGUUGAAGUGAGAAAUCAGAGCGUCCGUAGUUCGUGGUUUUGAAAUUUGUUUGGUUUGUUUUGUUGAUUUUAUUACCUUGAAGAAGGGUUUUCGAUUGUGAUGCCCUAAGGCUCAAACAAAAGGUUUGAAUGCGUUGAAUUGUUUUUAAGUUAGAAAGUGUUAUAUUUCGCAUUGCACUAAAGACUUAUGGAUAAAGGUGAAUGCCUCAAACGGUCAAGCUGAACGUCUUGUGUUCGAAGCAUUCAGAAUGAGUGUAGGAAAGCUCCAGUCUCAUCCCUUCUUUAUCGCUUAAGGCUUCGUGACGUACGAUCCUAAUCGCCAUUUAUUGUAUUUUUGAAUUUGAUUUAGAAAAGACCGCUUGACGUUGGAUCAAGGGUUUGUUUAUUGUUUUUGACUUGAAAAAUGGACCACUUGACGUUGGAUCAAGGGUUUGUUUAUUGAAUUUGAUUUGGAAAAGGCCGCUUGACGUUGGAUCAAGGGUUUGAUUAUCGAUUUUGAAUGGGUGAACGUUCCUAAUGCCUAAGGAGUAGCUAACAAACAAUAAAAGAAAGCAAGUAAAUGCGUACAUGAGAAAGGGGAGGGGGGUACAUGUAAAGUACAAGGGAUGUGCGGAAAUAAAAGCCAUUCAAAUGAAAAUUAAAUCUAAAGUCUAAGCUCUAUCUAAACAUGAAUUAAAACCAAGGCUAACCACAUGAGAAAUAAUAGUUAGGUUAAUUGACCAAUUAGAAAAUUCUAUAAGUCCUAAAACAAAGGGAACAUGCAAGAUUAGCCUAUACAAUUGUCAUUUUAUCAUUAUGGACUAAUUGAAUUAGACUUCUAUUUUAUUAAGUAAGUUCUAUUUAAAGUCAAUUAAAACUAAACUAAAUUUAAUAUUUCUAAGCUAUUUCUAAUUAUCUCAAGAUUCUAAUCUAAAAUUGUUUAAUUCUAAUCAAAGUUUAAUAUUCCUAAAAAAUAUUCCUAAUAUAUUCUAAUCCUAAUCUAAUUGUCCUAAAACUAAUUAAGAAUAUUCUAAAAUUUCUUAAUAAUCCUAAUUAAUUUCUAAAAUCUAUUAAGUCCUAACUAAUCUAAUUAAUCCUAAUCAAUCCUAAUUAAUUUCUGAUAAUAUUCUAACAUCUAAUCUUGAUUAAGACCUAAUUAACAUAAUGUUUCUAAUUAAAUUCUACCAUUCUAAAAUUACUAUCUAAAAGCAAUUAACUAGAAUCAAUCUCCAAUCAACCUAAUGAUAUUCUAAAAUUAAUAUUCUCUAAAAUUAAAUUGAAAUCUAAUUAUACCUAAAAGAUGCAAUUAAUUCCUAACUAUGCUUCUAAUCUAAUUAAUAUCUGAACAAUCUCUAAAAUCUAUUAGACUAUUUAAUUCUAAUCUUAAUUUUUAACCCAGAAUUUCUAAACGCAAAUUCUAAUCACCUAAUUAAGAUCCUAGAAAAUUUUAAUAUCCUAAACUAAAUCAAUUCCUAUUUAAUCUCUAGAAAAUUCUAGUUUAGUCCUAAAUUCCAAUUAAUAAUCCACAGAAUAAAUUAUCAAAGCCCAAAAAAGCAAAUGACGGUGCCAUAUUCGUCACCGUGAAAACCAAACGUCGUCGCUUUCAACCACAAAUCGGAGAUCGUGAAACCUUUGAGCGGAAUCGAAAGAAAACGGAACAUCCUUCUCCAUCAGACGCGGUUAUCCAUCAAUCGCGGUUGAGAAAAGAAUUCCCGUGAAAUGAAGCAAGCUGCGACGUGCAUCAAUGGCGAAGAUCGAACUCUGAAAUUAAUUCGACGUACGUUUCGACUCCAUCGUCUCACGCUCCUCUACCUGAAUCUACCUAUCUCCUACUCCAAUUUCUUCUCUAUUGACCGAACCAGAAAGAUCAUUCCAAGAACCCUAGGUAAAACUUCGAUUAAGUCCUCGUAUGGAGGUAAUCAAAUCCAUGAGUUUGGGAUAAACGUUCACCUAAUCAAGGCCUAUACAACGUCGACAACACGAGUCAAAUAGGAGAAUCUUUGCGUACCUUCGACGUCGACGACGGAGCAUACGGCGGACGGCGCUUAGACACUGCUUCGGUAUGAACAAUCGCUCCUCUGCUCCUAUCCUUCUUCUGCUUCUUCAAUUUUCGAUUUCUUUCUGAUUGGAGCUUCUCAUCAAUUCCGUUAUGAGUUGCGAGCUUCUACGGAUUUUGUUGAAGGUUCUUGGUGGAUGAUGAAGGCCUCGCUCGCGUCUCCGCUUUGAGAUGAAGACGAAGACGUUACACCGGUAUUGCCGAUCGAAAUGAAGAAGAAGCCUCUUGGAUCGUGAGUUUCCGAUUAUUCCGAUCUCUUCUGGAUUUCUCUUUUCUAUUAUUUCUUCUUUUUCCUUCUGCUUAUCACCUCCGAGAAUGGAGAGAAUUGCUGCAGAAUUGUUGCAGGAUCUUUGGUGGUUCGGUUGUGAUGAUGAUACAGUUAUGCGGAAGAAUUGAAGAGUGAAGAUUGGAAGCGGUUGAAGGUUUGUUACGGUGAUGGCUGGUUUAGCAGGUAACAGAGUUGGCUAGAGAAUGGUGAGUUCUGUUACGUGCUUGUUUAGUGAGGGAAAAAGAUUGUGGAAUCUGGAAGAAGAUUUGAGAGAGGCAAGAAGAAGAAUUUAUAGAGUUGAGGUUUGGAAUGAGGGAGCUUGGAGAUUAGCUUCGGAGUUAGUUAUUCUGGUUAGGAAUUAGGCUAGGGUGGGAUGACUAGGAUUGGAGUUAGUUUGGUAACUCACUGAGUUGAAUCUCUAACUCAGUUAGUUGGUCAAAAUUCUGCCAUCGAUGGAAAACAAAUUCCUGUUAGUUGGAGGGUUUUUGAUUGUCACAGCUGGGUUUUGGUUGAUGAGAUUAUGCAGGUUCAUUCUGUUAUUGAAAUGGCUCGGAUUUUAUGCAGAAUUUUGUUAAGAUUUUAAUGCAGAAUUUUAUUAAGGCGUCGCCGUCUGGUUUACAUUGCCGUUUCAAUUGGCUUGUGUUCUUGGAAUUGCAGCAUCUUUUUUCACUUUACUUUUCCCUGCACAACCUAUCCAUACUUCCCUUGGACUGUAAUGUGGAUAAUUUGGCAUAUGGUUUAUUUAGUAAUGGUAAAUGGACAUUGGAUAGAAAUUGGAUAUUGGUUGGUUUUGGUUAAUUGGAUAUGGAAUUGGAUUAAUUGUGAAAAUUGGGUAAUUGGUUGGUUAAUGGUUAGAUUAAUGGUUUAUGGGCUUAACAAAAUAUGAUGACAUAAGAUAAUUGGAUAAAAAUGAAAAUGGAGUUAAAUUGGAUUCAAAAUGUGGAUUAAAAAUGGAUGGAUAAAAUUGGAUAAUGUGAAAACUAAAAUUUGGUAAAAUGAGGAAAAAGAGGGAUAUGGAAAAUGGUUAAUUGAAAUGAAUACAAAUUUUUUUGGAUUUAAAGAUGGAUUUAGACAAGGUUAAUGGGUUAAUAAAGAAAUGGAUUUGGAUUCAAAAAAGAUGGAUUUUUAAUAUAAAAAAAAAGGAUGAAUGGGCUUUAGCAAGUUAACAAUCUGACAUCAUUGACAUCGAAAUAUCGACUUUCAAAAUGACGCAAUGAAUUAAUCAAAAACUCAUCGAUCAAUUAAAA